CCUACGGGUGGCUGCAGUGGGGAAUAUUGGGCAAUGGAGGAAACUCUGACCCAGCAAUGCCGCGUGAAUGAAGAAGGUCUUCGGAUUGUAAAGUUCUUUAGUCAGGGAAGAAUAAAAUGACGGUACCUGAAGAAUAAGCUCCGGCUAACUACGUGCCAGCAGCCGCGGUAAUACGUAGGGAGCAAGCGUUGUUCGGAAGGACUGGGCGUAAAGGGUGCGGCGGCGGUUAUACAAGUUAGACGGGAAAUAGCCAGGGCUUAACUCGGGUGCUGCUUCUAAAACUGUAAGACUUGAGUGCAGUAGAGGUAAGUGGAAUUCCUAGUGUAGCGGUGGAAUGCGUAGAUAUUAGGAGGAACACCAGAGGCGAAGGCGGCUUACUGGACUGUAACUGACGUUGAGGCUCGAAAGCGUGGGGAGCAAACAGGAUUAGAUACUCCAGUAGUC
rnacentral:rRNA from 1 species